GGCGCUAUAGCCAAGUGGUUACGGCGACAGAUUAGAAUUUCUGACUGGUAAUUGGAAUUGUCUGUAAACACUUCAUCUGUUCCUCUUUGAGGGCGCAGGUUCAAAUCCUGCUGGCGUCG